rnacentral:lncRNA from 13 species
AUGGAGGGAGUCUUGGUUUUCUCUUCCAAGUCCUUUGUGCCGCGCUAUGCCAUGGCUAACCUGACCGUCUACAUCCACGGAAGAGCUUUCAAUCUGCUUGAGGUCGAUCUUCGUGUGGAAAACAUUGAACCUCUUCUGAAACACAUUUUUGGCCACAAAUCAACUUCUCCUGAUGAGGAGCCUACAACUCGGGAGGAAGAGGAGGAUGGAAGGAAGUCUCCGAGGAAGGAGAGAAGACGAAGAAAAGCAGGGGAAGGAAAUAAAGGACAGAUAAAGGAGCGGAGAAGGAGAAAAGCUGGGGAAAGAGACAGCUCUGGUUGUUCACCUAGUAACUACGGUUACCUCAGCCAGGCCAGGACUAUGUUCUCAGGAGGGAGACUGGAGGAGGCCAGACCACGUUGUUGGCUUGGUGUCAAAGUGUUUGGGAAUGAGUUGAGCGUGGUGACCUGUGCUGACCUCUACUCUCAGAUAAAGGAGCUGUCACUCAGUAUGGCUGGUCUUGCCGUCAGACUGCUGAAGGGUCAGGAGGUGCAGCUCCACCACAGGGCAGUGUUGAUGACAGAGGAGUUGGUCCUGCCCUCUCUGUCAGGCUUACCCAUUAGACUGGGCAUCAACAUGACCUCCCUCCUCUCCCUGCACCUCAAGGGCAGUGCCAACUACAGAGACUGGUCCCACUUCUCACUGGCAGGUCACAUCAAGGCCAAGUAAGUCGGUAUCCAUUUUGGAUCUGACGGCCUCUUCAUUUUCUUAUCCCUGGUUCGUGUUUCACCAAUGACUGUGUUUCAGCCAAACAGCGGUCACCACUUAGUGGCAUGCUAAGUAUUUGAAAUAAUAAUGUCAUUUUUGUGAAGAUCUCUGUACUUUUUGCACACUGUGGGAAUGUCCCUCAGUUUCUUUCCCAUAUAAUGGUAUUUUUCUCUUCCCACAGUGCCUAUGUGGGCCUGUCAGCCCGGAUGGGGGUGGAUGGGGGCCUGGGUCGGGCUGGGGUGGAGUGGGCCACAGAGCUCAGGACCUCCAGCAGUCUGGAUGGGAGUGUGCAUCUCCAGGAGGGCCACGGCCUGAGAGUGGCCCUCAACACACCUGAAGACCUCAUGGAUAUAGUCUCUCUCAGGUGAGAGGAGCUGUGACUAGUGUUCUUGCUGAAAGAACACUGCUGUUAUUUUACAUUUUCAUUUUUAGACAAGCACACACAUUAUCUUCAGUAAAUGUACCUUUUCUAGUUGUAUUCGUUGGUUAGGUAACUAGGUUGGGGCCAAAAGCACAUUCCAUUUAGCCAAUUGAAAUUCCAAUUCAAUGACUUGAUUGAUUUUCAAUGUCUCCCUGCGUGCCACAGCUCCAGAAUGUACCAUGUAAACGGAGACCACCGAGAGGAGAUGAGAGGCUCCAAGAGUCGUGUGGAGAGGACCACCUGCACGCCAAAGACCUGUGAGUUCAUCCCAGCAAAGCUCAAGGGCGGUAUCUAAGGUCAAGUCUGGAAGUGUCCAAGUCCUUACUGGAAAUAAUUGUGUGUAAUUAGACUAUUUGUGCAAAGAUUCUAGUGUCAUGCCGUAUGUGGAUUUAAAGUAAGUUCCUUUCGGAUGAAAUAACUAAACGAUAUUAGUUGAUCUGAGACCAGUAUUUAUCGCCAAUGCUUGCCUAGAUUCUAUCUUAAAGAUGUCCAGUAUUUUGUAUAUUGAAGUAAGAGGAUGAGCAGCCAUUUUGUAAUUCUCUCCCAGGGUCUAAGAUGGUGGGGUGGCAGCUGUGCUCCAAUGUCUCCUACCCUUUAUCCUCUACGGGGCUUACCUUCCUCCCUCCCGGCCCUGUGCACCUCUCCCUCAGGCUACUGAAGCUAGACAGAGGCCUUCAUCAGUACCUACUAGAGGCAGCAUACUCUCUGUUGACGCAGGUACUGUCAAUCCAACCUAUUAACCUGCUAAACGUCCUACUAAUUGUCCUGCUCUGUUAAAAGAGGCUAUCUAAUAACACUUUGUUAACCUUUGGCACGGGUGCCAUGAAAAUUACACAGACCUGUGUUCAAAUAGUAUUUGAGAUUUCAAUAUGUGCUUUAUUGAGCUUGCCUGGCACAAGGGAACAAAUGGAGUAGUCCCAAAAGUAGAAACCCAGCCUAUCUGACCCACUCAAAUGCAAAAUAUUAUUUGAACCCAGGUCUGCAAUUACUAUACAUUAUUACACCACAUUAUUACACCACAUUAUUACACCAUAUUAUUCCAACACAUUAUUACCACAAAUUAUAGCAUAUGUAAUGGAAAGGCAAUUAAUAUAAGUGAUG